rnacentral:lncRNA from 1 species
CUACUAUACUAGGACCUGAUCAAUUGUUGCUAUGUCAAAGACUUAGCCGGCUAUCAAGUCAUGAUCCACUGUGGAGAAGACAUUGCAAAAAAUACUGGCUGAUAUCUGAGGAAGAGAAAACAUGGAAGAAUCAUGUUGGAAAUCUCUCUUCAUAGAUACUUACUCUGAUGUAGGAAGAUACAUUGAUCAUUAUGCUGCUUAUUAAAAAGGCCUGGGAUGAUCUCAAGAAAUAUUUGGAGCCCAGGUGUCCUCAGAUGGUUUUAUCUCUAAAAGAGGAUGCUCGUGAGAAAGACCUAGAUGCUGUGGAGAAAGACCUAGCACAGAUUGGUUGCAAGCUUCCUGAUGACCAUGGGUACUCAUACUGAAUCCACAAUGGGCAGAAGUUAGUGGUUCCUGGGUUGUUGGGAAGUAUGGCUCUGUUUAAUCACUAUCAUUCUGAAGAUUUGUUAGAUGUCGAUACAGCUGCCAGAGGAUUCCAGCAGAGACAGGGGCUUAAAUACUGUCUCACUUUUUUGGCAUAUAUACUGGUUUGAGUCAGUACAUAACAGUGGAAGCAGUGCAGGGUGAAACAAAAAUGAAGUUUUCUACCAAUGUCCAGACAAAAUGAGUCAGAAGCCAGCUGCUAUUGACAUGUUUAUCAUAGGUGCUACUUUUACUGACUGAUUUUCCUUUUAUGUCAACAAUGUUUUAUCAGGUGGCUUCCCCAUCAUCAGAAACCAAAUUUUCAGAUAUGUUCACGAUCCAGAGUGCAUGGCAACACCUGGGGAUAUUAUAGUGUCAGUUUCCACAUCAUUUCUGCCAGAAAUCAGCUCUGUACAUCCACCCCACUAUUUCUUCACAUACCGCAUCAGGAUUGAAAUGUCAAAGGAUGCACUUCCUGAGAAAGCAUGUCAGUUGGACAGUUGCUAAUGGAGAAUAACAAAUGCUAAGGGUGAUGUAGAAGAAGUUCAAGGACCAGGAGUAGUUGGUGAAUUUCCUAUCAUCAGCCCAGGUCGGGCAUAUGAUUACAACAGCUGUACCACAUUCUCUACAUCAUCAAGAUUUACGGAAGGAUAUUAUACCUUCCAUUUUCUUUAAAGACAAGAUCUUUAAAAUGUUACCAUUCCCUGACUCCAUAUGACAUUCAGGGUGUCUAUAGCCCAACUGUUUUGGUAAUUUGUGCCUUUCAAGGAAUCUGUCCAUUUCAUCUAAAUGAUGAAUUUAUUGGUGUAAAGUUAUUCACAAUAUUCCCUUGAUAUCCUUGUAAUGGCUACAAUAAUUACAGUCAUAUGUCCUCUUUUGUUUUUCAUAUUGGUAUUUAUAUCUUCUCUUUUGUUCAUCACAUGAUUAUUAUCAUUUUUAUUGAUUAAAGGAACAACUUUUGGUUUCACUGAUUUUUCUCUAUUCAUUUUUUAUUUCAUUGAUGUCUGUAGUUAUCUUUCUUUUCUACUUUGGGUCUUAUUUGUUCUUCUAGCUUUUUAAAGUAGAAGUUUAUUGAUUUUAAAUGUUAAGCACUGUUUUAGCUGUGUUUCACAAAUUUUGAUGUGUUUUUGUUAACAGUAGUUCAAAAUAGUCCCAAAUUUCCCUUGUAACUUAAUUUUGACCUGUGACUUUUCUACCAGUGAGUUGAUUUCUAAACAUAUGGGAACUUUUCAGUUAUCUUUUGGCUAUUGUUUUCUAAUUUCAUUGUGGUUAGAAAACUUCCUCAGUAUUUUCAGUACUUGUAAAUGUUUUAUGGCCCAAUCUUAUGUGAAGAAUUUAUAUAUGUUGGUUAAUGAUCCUUGUGCAUUUGGAAAGAAUGUGUAUUCUGUCAUUUGGGGGAAUAUUAUUCUAUUAAUACAGGUUAAACUGGUUGACAUUGUUUUUCAAAUAUCUAUUUAUUUAUUGUUUGGGGGGGACCUUUGUUCUGUCAACUACUGAAGAUAUGAUUGUUGAAAUUUCCAACUAAGAUUACAGUUUUGUCUAUUUCUCUUUUCCGUUCUGUCAGAUUUGCCUCAUGGAUUUGGAAGUUUUAUAAUUGUGUACAAAUGUGCUUAGGAUUGUUGUGUCUUUUUAAUGAAUUGAUUCUUUUAUUAUUAUGAAAUCUCCCUCUUUAUCUCCAUAACAUAUCUUGUCCUGAAGGUUAAAGAGCACUGAAGCUUGUUUGGCAGCUGAGCUACUGUUGGAUCAGCUUGAUCCUUUUGAGGACUGUUUUCUUCAAUAUUCAUUGGGGCGAGUGUACAGUGCUAUCUACUUAAGGACAGUCAUUCUCCAACAUUUCAGUUUCAUGACUCUCUUAGAUGCUUAAACUCAGGGCUCCAAAGAACUCUUGCUUACAUGGGUUACAUUGAUAAUUAUCAUAUUAGAAGCUAAAACUGAGAAGUUUGACAAUAUUUACUUAGCAGUUCCCUUUAAAUUACAAUAAGUAAAUCCUCUCAACUAUAUUUAUUUACUUAGAGUUUUAGUUUCUUCUUAAGCACAAAUAAACAUAUUCAAUCUU